CCUACGGGAGGCAGCAGUGAGGAAUAUUGGUCAAUGGACGAGAGUCUGAACCAGCCAAGUAGCGUGAAUGAUGACUGCCCUAUGGGUUGUAAACUUCUUUUAUAUGGGAAUAAAAUGUUCCACGUGUUGGAUUUUGUAUGUACCAUAUGAAUAAGGAUCGGCUAACUCCGUGCCAGCAGCCGCGGUAAUACGGAGGAUCCGAGCGUUAUCCGGAUUUAUUGGGUUUAAAGGGAGCGUAGGUGGAGUGUUAAGUCAGUUGUGAAAGUUUGCGGCUCAACCGUAAAAGUGCAGUUGAAACUGGCAGUCUUGAGUACAGUAGAGGUGGGCGGAAUUCGUGGUGUAGCGGUGAAAUGCUUAGAUAUCACGAAGAACUCCGAUUGCGAAGGCAGUUCACUGGACUGCAACUGACACUGAGGCUCGAAAGUGUGGGUAUCAAACAGGAUUAGAUACCCUAGUAGUC
rnacentral:rRNA from 1 species